UACGGAGGGUGCAAGCGUUAAUCGGAAUUACUGGGCGUAAAGCGCGCGUAGGCGGUUUGAUAAGUCGAUUGUGAAAUCCCCGGGCUCAACCUGGGAAUUGCAGUCGAGACUGUCAGACUAGAGUGUGGGAGAGGGUGGUGGAAUUCCCGGUGUAGCGGUGAAAUGCGUAGAGAUCGGGAGGAACACCAGCGGCGAAAGGCGGCAAACUGG
rnacentral:rRNA from 1 species